AUCAGAAAUUAAAGCCAUGGUUGCUGACAUGCUAGACUUGCAUUUCGCGGAUGAUUCUUUUGAUGUGGUUAUUGAGAAAGGAACAAUGGAUGUAUUGUUCGUGGACAGUGGUGAUCCGUGGAACCCAAAACCUGAAAUCGUAAGCAAGGUAACGACAAUGCUUCAAGGCAUCAUCGGGUCUUGAAGCCAGAUGGUAUCUACAUAUCAAUUUCUUUUGGGCAGCCACACUUCAGGCGUCCGUUAUUUGAAGCUCCUAAUUUUACAUGGUCUAUGAAAUGGAGUACCUUUGGUGAUGGAUUCCAUUAUUUCUUCUACACUCUAAAGAAGG